rnacentral:rRNA from 1 species
AUUGAACGCUGGCGGCAUGCCUUACACAUGCAAGUCGAACGGCAGCACGGAGCUUGCUCUGGUGGCGAGUGGCGAACGGGUGAGUAAUACAUCGGAACGUACCCAGGAGUGGGGGAUAACGUAGCGAAAGUUACGCUAAUACCGCAUACGUCCCAAGGGAGAAAGCGGGGGAUCGCAAGACCUCGUGCUCAUGGAGCGGCCGAUAUCUGAUUAGCUAGUUGGUGGGGUAAAAGCCUACCAAGGCAACGAUCAGUAGCUGGUCUGAGAGGACGACCAGCCACACUGGAACUGAGACGCGGUCCAGACUCCUACGGGAGGCAGCAGUGGGGAAUUUUGGACAAUGGGGGCAACCCUGAUCCAGCAAUGCCGCGUGAGUGAAGAAGGCCCUCGGGUUGUAAAGCUCUUUUGUCAGGGAAGAAAAGGCUGUGGCUAAUAUCCACGGCUCAUGACGGUACCUGAAGAAUAAGCACCGGCUAACUACGUGCCAGCCGCCGCCGUAACAC